AGAUGUCUCUGGAAAACCUGCCUUACAUGGAUGAGCAAGUGUGGAUCUACAGGGAUGUGACAUCCAUGAAUCUGGUAACAGAUUUCUUAUGGGUUAGCUACGAUGGAAUGGACAGUGCUGAUGUGUACCUCAGUUACUUUGCAGGAAGAACUUGUGGCCUGUGUGGAUCCUUUGAUGGAGACCAGAACAAUGAUAUGAUACUUCCUUCAGGAGAAUUGGCAAGAUCAGCAACUGAGUUUGGAAACAGCUG